GAUGAAGAACGUAGCGAAAUGCGAUACUUGGUGUGAAUUGCAGAAUCCCGUGAACCAUCGAGUCUUUGAACGCAAGUUGCGCCCGAAGCCAUUAGGCCGAGGGCACGCCUGCCUGGGCGUCACACGUCGUUGCCCCCCCAUCUACUCCUUCGGGAUUGCGGGGGGCGGAUGAUGGCCUCCCGUGCGCCUCGUCGCGCGGUUGGCAUAAAUGCUAAGUCCUCGGCGACGCACGCCACGACAAUCGGUGGUUGCGAAACCUCGGUUGCCCGUCGUGUGCGGUCGUCGCGCAUCGAGGGCUCGAAAAAAUUGCCGGGCUCCGGCUCGGCUUUCAACGCGACCCCAGGUCAGGCGGGGUUACCCGCUGAAUUUAAGCAUAUCAAAAGCGGAGGA
rnacentral:misc_RNA from 1 species